UACGUAGGGUGCGAGCGUUAAUCGGAAUUACUGGGCGUAAAGCGUGCGCAGGCGGUUUUGUAAGCCAGAUGUGAAAUCCCCGGGCUUAACCUGGGAAUGGCAUUUGGGACUGCAAGGCUGGAGUGUGGCAGAGGAGACUGGAAUUCCUGGUGUAGCAGUGAAAUGCGUAGAUAUCAGGAGGAAUACCGAUGGCGAAGGCAGGUCUCUGGGCUAACACUGACGCUCAUGCACGAAAGCGUGGGAAGCAAACAGG
rnacentral:rRNA from 1 species